rnacentral:rRNA from 1 species
AUUGAACGCUGGCGGCAUGCUUUACACAUGCAAGUCGAACGGUAACAGGCCGCAAGGUGCUGACGAGUGGCGAACGGGUGAGUAAUGCAUCGGAACGUGCCCAGUCGUGGGGGAUAACGCAGCGAAAGCUGUGCUAAUACCGCAUACGAUCUAUGGAUGAAAGCGGGGGACCGUAAGGCCUCGCGCGAUUGGAGCGGCCGAUGUCAGAUUAGGUAGUUGGUGGGGUAAAGGCUCACCAAGCCAACGAUCUGUAGCUGGUCUGAGAGGACGACCAGCCACACCGGAACUGAGACACGGCCCAGACUCCUACGGGAGGCAGCAGUGGGGAAUUUUGGACAAUGGGCGCAAGCCUGAUCCAGCAAUGCCGCGUGCAGGAAGAAGGCCUUCGGGUUGUAAACUGCUUUUGUACGGAACGAAACGGCGAGCUCUAAUACAGUUUGCUAAUGACGGUACCGUAAGAAUAAGCACCGGCUAACUACGUGCCAGCCGCCGUAACAC